rnacentral:rRNA from 1 species
UAGCAGGAUUCCCCUAGUAACUGCGAGUGAAGCGGGAAAAGCUCAAAUUUUAAAUCUGGCGGUCCUUUGCGGCCGUCCGAGUUGUAAUCUAGAGAAGUGCUUACCCGCGCUGGACCGUGUACAAGUCUCCUGGAAUGGAGCGUCAUAGAGGGUGAGAAUCCCGUCUUCGACACGGACUGCCAGGGCUUAUGUGGUGCGCUCUCGAAGAGUCGAGUUGUUUGGGAAUGCAGCUCUAAAUGGGUGGUAAAUUCCAUCUAAAGCUAAAUACAGGCGAGAGACCGAUAGCGAACAAGUACCGUGAGGGAAAGAUGAAAAGAACUUUGGAAAGAGAGUUAAACAGUACGUGAAAUUGCUGAAAGGGAAACGUUUGAAGUCAGUCGCGUUGGCUGGGGAUCAACCUUGCUCUUGCAGGGCGCACUCUCUGGUUUCGACGGGUCAGCAUCAGUUUUGGUCGCUGGAGAAAGGCUAGGGGAAUGUGGCAUCGCUUCGGUGAUGUGUUAUAGCCCUUGGUUGUAUGCAGCGGUUGGGACUGAGGAACUCAGCGCGCGCCUCUUCACGGGGGUGCCGGGUCUUUCGAGACCACGCUUACGCGCUUAGGAUGCUGGCAUAAUGGCUUUAAGCGACCCGUCUUGAAACACGGACCAAGGAGUCUAACAUGCUUGCGAGUGUUUGGGUGGAAAACCCGAGCGCGUAAUGAAAGUGAAAGUUGGGAACCCUGUCGUGGGGUGCACCGACGCCCGGACCAGACCUUCUUGUGACGGCUCCGCGGUAGAGCAGGCAUGUUGGGACCCGAAAGAUGGUGAACUAUGCCUGAAUAGGGUGAAGCCAGAGGAAACUCUGGUGGAGGCUCGUAGCGAUUCUGACGUGCAAAUCGAUCGUCAAAUUUGGGUAUAGGGGCGAAAGACUAAUCGAACCAUCUAGUAGCUGGUUCUGC